UUUUAUUUAGGGUUUUGAGGAGAGGAAAAGAUUGUUAGGAGUUAUUAGAUUGGGUUUGGAUUGGAAAAAUCUUGUAUAAAUCAAGUGUUUUCCAAAACCUCCCAAUCUAGUGAUUUCUAGCUGUCUAACCCUCUCCUUUUUCGCCUCUGCAGUCUC
rnacentral:pre_miRNA from 1 species